GAAAGGAGCAAUCCGCUGAUAGAUGGGCUUGCGUCUGAUUAGAUAGUUGGUGGGGUAAAGGCCUACCAAGUCGACGAUCAGUAGCCGGACUGAGAGGUUGAACGGCCACAUUGGGACUGAGAUACGGCCCAGACUCCUACGGGAGGCAGCAGUCGGGAAUAUUGCGCAAUGGAGGAAACUCUGACGCAGUGACGCCGCGUGCAGGAAGAAGGUUUUCGGAUUGUAAACUGCUUUAGACAGGGAAGAUAAUGACAGUACCUGUAGAAUAAGCUCCGGCUAACUACGUGCCAGCAGCCGCGGUAAUACGUAGGGAGCAAGCGUUAUCCGGAUUUAUUGGGUGUAAAGGGUGCGUAGACGGGAAGGCAAGUUAGUUGUGAAAUCCCUCGGCUUAACUGAGGAACUGCAACUAAAACUAUCUUUCUUGAGUGCUGGAGAGGAAAGUGGAAUUCCUAGUGUAGCGGUGAAAUGCGUAGAUAUUAGGAGGAACACCAGUGGCGAAGGCGACUUUCUGGACAGUAACUGACGUUGAGGCACGAAAGUGUGGGGAGCAAACAGGAUUAGAUACCCUGGUAGUCCACACCGUAAACGA
rnacentral:rRNA from 1 species